GCCUGUCUCGCCGCCGCCGCCCUGCUCGCCAGGCUCGCGCGCGACCUCCCCACAUGGUGCUACACAGGCACAGUGCUCCCUCCCUCCAUUCUCUUUGCUCUGCUUUCUUGUCUGAAUAAUACUGCGUCUUUCUUCAGAAUUCGAUGACAUGGUUGAGUUGGAUCACUUCACCUCCUCUGAUGGACUGAUUGUUUUUGUGGUGGCACUCCAAUCCUGCAGUUGUGGUGGGCGCCGGAAACCCUAGCUGCCGGGACGCGGCCAUGGUGACCGACCGGAGGCGCAGGACUCGGACUCGGACAACGGUGGUAUGGUAAGGAUCCCAACUCAUCUUCCCUCCUUAUUCUUUCCCACUAUGACCCUUGCCUCGUGUUGUCUGUGUAGGUAGGCGUCAUGGAGCGGAGCUUGCUCUGUCCGGGACGCCAUGGAUCUGUUGCGCGUGAAGCUCUUUCUUCCUCCAGCACAAGAACGUACAAGCAGCAUCCAAG
rnacentral:lncRNA from 1 species